rnacentral:rRNA from 1 species
GCCCAGACUCCUACGGGAGGCAGCAGUGGGGAAUAUUGCACAAUGGGGGGAACCCUGAUGCAGCAACGCCGCGUGGGUGAAGAAGUACUUCGGUAUGUAAAGCCCUGUCAGCAGGGAAGAAAAUGACGGUACCUGAAGAAGAAGCCCCGGCUAACUACGUGCCAGCAGCCGCGGUAAUACGUAGGGGGCAAGCGUUAUCCGGAUUUACUGGGUGUAAAGGGGGCGCAGACGGCGAUGCAAGCCAGGAGUGAAAGCCCGGGGCCCAACCCCGGGACUGCUCUUGGAACUGCGUGGCUGGAGUGCAGGAGGGGCAGGCGGAAUUCCUGGUGUAGCGGUGAAAUGCGUAGAUAUCAGGAGGAACACCGGUGGCGAAGGCGGCCUGCUGGACUGCAACUGACGUUGAGGCCCGAAAGCGUGGGGAGCAAACAGGAUUAGAUACCCGAGUA